rnacentral:rRNA from 1 species
UACGAAGGGGGCUAGCGUUGUUCGGAAUUACUGGGCGUAAAGGGCUCGUAGGCGGCCAACUAAGUCAGACGUGAAAUCCCUCGGCUUAACCGGGGAACUGCGUCUGAUACUGGAUGGCUUGAGUUCGGGAGAGGGAUGCGGAAUUCCAGGUGUAGCGGUGAAAUGCGUAGAUAUCUGGAGGAACACCGGUGGCGAAGGCGGCAUCCUGGACCGAUACUGACGCUGAGGAGCGAAAGCCAGGGGAGCAAACGGG